AAUCUCGUAUGUAAACUGGUAAUUUUAAGGAUAUGCAACUGAAGCGCUGACGAAUUGGCGUGACUGACAUGAAGAGAACAAUAGUUCAAUAUAAAUUCGUGUAACGGUGUUAUUGCGCAGAUCUGUAAGAAUUUUAAUAUUUAUCUAGAUAGCAUAUGAAUUUAUAACUUAAAUUCAGAUUUCAUGAUAGUCUUUUAGAAAAAUUAAAUUUUCGACACUAUAAUCCAGUAAAGCCAAAAAUACUACGGUAGAUACACUGUGAACGUGUAUUUAGGAAAGACGGAGAGGGCGAAGAAGCAUUUUUUUAUGUCGAUAGUAUUGAAAACCUUGGGGAAAUUAAAAGCCUAUGCUGUACGAGAUAGAUCACCAGAGAAUAAUAAUAUCACUUUAUUACUCACUGUUGACGACUGCUGUGUGUUUGUCCUGCUCAAGAGCAACUUGUAAAUAUGUGUGUAUCCAGAAAACCUUGCCUUCUUCUUUCCUAGUCCAAGCUAAGCGAACAAAUGUGAGGCAAUGAUUCGAGUCGGAUAAAUUGCCCAAGCCAACUCAAUUGCAACAUGCGUUCUCUUGUGUUUGACAAUGUUUCUAAUUAAAACUAAGCCAUUAACAUAACGUCAAUUAGUUCCAGUAGGCGUUGCAGAGACCGAUCGACGUGGUCCAUACAUAAUUUCAUCCUGGAUGUUAAUAUGCAUCGGAAAAUGAGUUCGCCGCCGCCGCCUAUCUUUGCUACUUUCAUGUGCAUCAAACUAAAUCAGUCAACCCUCUUCAUCAUUCGAAAAGCUGUCACUUUGACGAAGAUUGCUUGCGGAUAAAAUAAAGAGAUAAUUGCACUAAUUGCAGUUCUGGCAGUUUGAAUAAAAACUGUGUUUUUUUCAUACAACAGCUACCAUCGUUGUAUUUAUUAUCUGUCUUUUAUAAUAUAGAGAUUACAAUUGCAAGUUGGACGUUUUAUGCGUGUAAUAGUUACGUAUCUGUGAAUACUUGGAGUUGAUUUUCUACUUUGUAAUCAGGUUUAUAAGAUUCCAGAUUUUUAAUAUUUGCGUUUCUCACAAAUUGCAGUGAUUAUCAAGAAAUUUUUGAUCAUAAAAAUUGAACAAACCAUUUAACAAAAGCUGUUAAUAGUAAUAAGUAGGUUUAAUAAAUAGUUCAUAUUUAUUACAUAAUGACAACACAAACUAGGUUUAUCUAUCUCAGUUUCAGAUAUUAAAAUUCAAUGAAAUGUAAAAAAAACACCGAAACGACGUUGAUAAUUAAUAAAGUCAUGCCUGCGAAUAACGGUCUUUCCAGUAAUGAAACGACAUUAAUUGUAUGUGCGGAGCACUCUCGUCUCCAAAUGAAGACCCAGGGAAAUCUCCGACUGUUUUUGAAAGUACUUACGUGAGCAAUGCAAACAGUAAAAAGUGCAUAAAAGUAUUCGUUUGGGAGGCCGGGGCGAAAAGAGUGGAGGGGAGUGGCACAGGGAGCAGGAAAUUCACGGGAGGGAAUAUUUUAGCAGUAAGUAAAGGCGAGUAAAUUGAAAUGGAUAAUUAAAAGGAGAGCCACUGGGGAAUUCAAUGAUAUUCAAAUAGCCGAGUUGACAGUUUUUUCCCAACGGGAAUUUAAAGGGAAGAAAGGAAAAGAUGGGCUCACACAUUUAUUUAUUCGAGUCGAACAACGUCAACAUAAAUGUUCACAUGUUCUCAUUUCCAGGGAACAAAAUGGAAUCCUAUUCUCGCAGUCUCCAUCAAUCCAUCCGUGGAUGUGCACUUUUACUUUACUUCAUCCUUGUAAGGAAAGAUAUCUCUUCCUGGAUAUAAAAAAAUGAACACAAGAGAAUGUGGCACCACCGACCGACCACAACCAAGCCCAUCCGAACCAUAUCAUCAUCAUCGAACUGCAAUUGUCAGCCAAGGGUCGACAGUUAUCGUUUUGCGGACUGGGCGAUUUCCAUUGCGCUUUUCCUGGUUUUCUCAAGGGCUCUUCUCAGGCAGGGUUUCGAUUGAAGAUUUUCAUGCAAUUCACGUCAUUUCUUGCCUCUCCCAAAAUACCUGAGAGGGGAAACAUGUGAUACUUUAUACUUUGAGUUUACAUGGGUAGUGGCAAAGAGCUUUCGAUGAGUCAGAGCAAGAAAAAAGUUACUGACAUGCCCCACCUCGCUCUUCCAUCCAGUUUAGAGGAGGAUGCCAACGUGAAACUUGUGAAAUGUUAUAUUGCAAGACAAAAGUAGAGAUUUGUA